rnacentral:siRNA from 1 species
UUUCCGGUGCGUUUGCGAGG